rnacentral:lncRNA from 1 species
GUGGACGUCACAUGGCAAUGCCACCUCACCACUAGAGUUUUAUUUCUUAAUAUUUCUUUUUUUUCAUUUCAAAUUUUAUCCUUUUAGUUUCAAUAAAAGGGACAAUUUUUCCUAUAAAAAUUUUAUCGUUUUGUGUAGCUUACAUCAAAAUGCACUAUCAUUUCAUUGAUGCAAGAUUGUCUUGAAAAAGUUCGGGUUUAACCCUGUACCCAUAUUAUGAAAUGGGUUCAAGAAUUGUUAAGGCUUCACUGAGGCGACCAUUUGUGUAGAGAUAAUUCAAAUGGGUAUUUGUGAAUCGUUAUUCUUGGGUAAUAGUUGGUGAAAAAUUGAUGCGUUUUUAUUUUUUUAUGAUAAUUUUUGGGUAGUUUUGAAAGUGUUGGAAAAAUUGAUUUAAUCUCCCCAGGACUGAGUGUUUUAUCUCUUUUCGGGUUCCACUUUGGUGAUAAAAUGGUUUUGAUCUUAAAACUAUUUAUUAAAAAAAAAUUGAGAAAAUUUUGAAAUAAUUUUAAGAAAAUUUACAGAGUCGCCACUUAAUUUUUAUAGAAAAAAAUUUAAAAGAGGUUCAAAGGUUCAAAAACAUAAAUAAAUCUUUCAAACUAGAGAUUCUGAGUAAGGGUUCAAUUAACACCCUAAAAAGGUUUUUAAGGCACUUAAGAGCGUCCGUUUAAAACGGUUUACCAAAAAGAACUAACUUGGUUAAUUAAAGGUGGCUAAUUUCGCAAAAGGUUGAUUUUAUAGAAAAUAUAAAAAAUAUUGAAAAAUGAUAUUUAUUUAUUCAAAAGAGAGAAAUUCUAUUUGAAUUAAACUAAGUUGUCAUUUCUUUGGGACUUAAAAAAAAAAACAAUUUUUAUCUUUAUUAUGAAAAAAAGAAGUUUGCGUAAUUAUUAUUUAAUUACUUUUUAUUAUUAUUAAACCAUAGAAAAUCCGAAUAACACUUUUCGGGAAGAACGUUAAGGGCACACCAUAAACACCUUAUUAAUUAUAGAAAGUUCGAAUUUACAAAAAAAAUUAGUUUCAUGAAUUUGAAGGAAAUUAAUUUAAUUCAAAUAAUUUAUUAAUGACAUUAGCAAAAUAAAGUGCCAUAAAAAAUAUUUAAUUUUUAAGCGACUUGUUGUAAGAAGAAAAUUGAAGGAAACAAUUUAAUCCAUUUUUAUACGAAAUAAUAUUAGGUGAAAAAGUCGUGAAUUAAGUAAAGGGGACUAAGAUAAAAUGACGACAUCUUAGAAAAUUUACCUAGAUUAAUUAAUCUUAGAAAAUUUACCUAGAUUAAAUAAUCUAAAAAUGUUAGUUAGCACCAAUAAAUAAUACAAGCCACAAAUAAGCAAUAUAAACUACAAAGAUGGAUAUAAGAAUUGAAUUGGGCCAAACAAAGCUGCUCAUUUCUGGGGCUUACAAUUAUGGACUUCGGGUCCAUUUUCUGAACUGUAUACCAGCUAUAUAUCACAGCUCUUUCCCCUGCGUUUUUUUGGUAUAGACGCUGUAUAUCACCGUACGACAACCGUACAAUUGCUUCCAAUCUUGUUAUGCAUCAUGUUGCACAUAUACCAGCCACUUUCAGAUCAUAAAUACUGUAUAUUUUCUGUAUAUCCGUGUAUAUCAGUAGCUGUUCAUUCAUACUAGUCCUUUUGAAGAAGUAGGAGGCUCGACUCAAUGCUACGGAGGCUUCGCACCAAGGGUAUGCAAGAUGAGGAGUCCAAAUGGACUCAAUCAGGAGAGUUCAUGCACAGAAAACGAGAUAAGGAUGAGCAUCCAAGAAGAAUCUUUAAACAAUAAUCAAGCAAGUAAAAACACUCAAACAAAAUGCUUAAUGCUCAAUUAUGUGAAGCAGAGCAAUCUCAAUACAAAAUGCGAGGCUCGUAAUUAUCACAUUCCGUUAACACCACGCAAUUUCUAUGAUUCAAGCAUUCCGUCCAACAAUUAUACUAUAGUUUACAAGAUUUCCGAGGAAACUUGAAUUAGCUUAUGGAUAUCAAGCUAUGUGCAAACCAGAGAAUGUAUUCAUGAUAGAGAAAAGUACAUAAGAGUUAAAAACUUUGAAUCCCUUAGUCAAAGCCUCGUAUAGCUAUUAUUUAAGCUCCACCUUACAACAAAGAUACUGAUUUUGAAGUAAAUCAAUGACCAAAACAUGCUAUCCUUAGUGAAAUCUUUAGCUUAAUAAUUUGUUCAAACAAUAAAACAUAUACUCAACACACUCAAACAUCAAGAUAAUUCAACACCCAGACUUUACUGUUACUUCCAGAAAACACCAUUCAAACGACCAACAUCCCACGGAGAUCCAACUAUUCUAACAACAACAACACAGUAACAACACUUAACAAAUCGGACCCCAAGAAAAAUACCACGACAAGAAGGAUUAGGAUCCAUUUAAACUUCCACAUAAAUAACAGAUUCAAGAUUUUUCCUUAUUAAUAAAACCUAAUCUAUGGCACAUGGGAGAUGGACAAAAAAGGGGUUACCUUUAUCCGGGCAGCAAAUGGGACGACGAGCCUAAAACGAUGAGGUUUUUCACCACCAGAUUUUAACUCGAUUUCGUCGAAAUUUUGGUUGCGUGAAGUUAGAGACACGCGUCUCCAGAACCCCCAAUUUUUCCCCAAAAAUUCCUCCCCUUGACCCCUAUCCCUCAACCUCUAUUUAUAGGUGAAAAAAGUUGAGGGAUUUUCGGAUUUGAAAACUGAAAUUCAAGUGGUUUCUUCAGAAAUUUUGAAGCCCGUUGUAGGACAAAAAAUAGAGCCGUUGGGCAUUAAUUGCCUACCCGAAAUGGUGAAUUACAGACUGAGAAGGAUGAAAGGUGGACGAAUUUCUAGCCGUUCUUGGCAUUGUUAACCGCUGUCUAACAGUUGUAUCAACAGCUAUUGUUGAAGCUUAUGUUGUACGCUGUUAAGGUUUUGCGUUGAAAUCAUUGCUGUUGUUCGAUGAAAUUGUUGUUGUUGGUUGAACUUGCACGCUGUUAUAGCGUUUGUUGUUGCUCUGGUGGAGUUUUGACUGUGCGUUGUUGUUGAAUUGGGUGAGAAGAGUUAAGGGUAUUGGGUCGGGUCCCUUAUGUGGCGCUGGGCUGGUUGCUGUUGAAGUUGUUAUGGGCUGGGGGUGAGAAAAAUAAGGGGGGUGUGGCCGGAUUUGGGCCA